rnacentral:rRNA from 1 species
UAGGAAUCUGCCUGGUAGUGGGGGACAACGUUUCGAAAGGAACGCUAAUACCGCAUACGUCCUACGGGAGAAAGCAGGGGACCUUCGGGCCUUGCGCUAUCAGAUGAGCCUAGGUCGGAUUAGCUAGUUGGUGAGGUAAUGGCUCACCAAGGCUACGAUCCGUAACUGGUCUGAGAGGAUGAUCAGUCACACUGAACUGAGACACGGUCCAGACUCCUACGGGAGGCAGCAGUGGGGAAUAUUGGACAAUGGGCGAAAGCCUGAUCCAGCCAUGCCGCGUGUGUGAAGAAGGUCUUCGGAUUGUAAAGCACUUUAAGUUGGGAGGAAGGGCAGUAAGCGAAUACCUUGCUGUUUUGACGUUACCGACAGAAUAAGCACCGGCUAACUCUGUGCCAGCA